CUNCCGGUGAUCCCGCCGGACCCGACUGCUAUCAGAGUGGGACUAAGCCAUGCGAGUCGACGUAGCAAUGCGUGGCGAACGGCUCAGUAACACGUAGUCAACAUGCCCAGGGGACGUGGAUAACCUCGGGAAACUGAGAAUAAACCACGAUAGGUCACGAUUUCUGGAAUGGAUCAUGGCCUAAAUCUACAUGGCCCCUGGAUUGGACUGCGGCCGAUCAGGCUGUUGGUGAGGUAAUGGCCCACCAAACCUAUAACCGGUACGGGCCUUGAGAGAGGUGGCCCGGAGAUGGACACUGAGAGAAGGGUCCAGGUCCUACGGGGCGCAGCAGGCGCGAAACCUUCGCAAUGCGCGAAAGCGUGACGAGGUUAAUCCGAGUGACUCCCGCUGAGGGGGUCUUUUGUCAGCUGUAAAUAGGCAGGCGAAUAAGGGGAGGGCAAGCCUGGUGUCAGCCGCCGCGGUAAUACCAGCUCCUCGAGUGGUCGGGGCGAUUAUUGGGCCUAAAGCAUCCGUAGCCGGUUCCGUAGGUCCUCUGUUAAAUCCAACCGCUUAACGGUUGACCUGCAGAGGAUACCGCGGGACUAGGAGGCGGGAGAGGCGGACGGUACUCCGCGUGUAGGGGUAAAAUCCUUUGAUCCGCGGAAGACCACCAGUGGCGAAGGCGGUCCGCCAGAACGCGCUCGACGGUGAGGGAUGAAAGCUGGGGGAGCGAACCGGAUUAGAUACCCGGGUAGUCCCAGCCGUAAACGAUGCUAGCUAGAUGAUUCAUUCGCAAGUCGCGAAUGAAGUGUCGCAGGGAAGCCGUUAAGCUAGCCGCCUGGGGAGUACGGUCGCAAGACUGAAACUUAAAGGAUUGGCGGGGGAGCA
rnacentral:rRNA from 1 species